UAGAACUAUCUUCUAAUCGAUGUUCGUAGUCGCCAUAUCUCUACUGUUUUGUACAGUUAACAUCCUUCCAAAUUGUUUUCAUUCACGAAAUGUAACGGAUUUUCGAAACUUGAUCACAGUUUAACAAGAAUCGUAGAGAUCUCUCGUUGAGAGUGUGAACGGAAGAAGUUACGGGAUAUGCGACAACCAUUUUGUAAUACGAAUUUUAAAUUACUUGAUUGUACUUCCAAAGUAAGUAAAAUGGAUCGUUGAAAGAAAUGUGAAGAAAUAAUAUUAAUUAGAACACAGAGAUUGAGGAGGAUCCAAAUUCGAGAGUUUUUCUAGUGCGAUCGACAAAAAAAUCUAUGACUCAGUGGUGAAUGCUAGCAUAGAAAGGGGAGAAGAGUCAAUUCAGCCUCUUUUUAGAGGAUUUGUUUUGAAAUAACCGCCCAUAGAUUCGCUCAGCAAUGAAGUGCACUUAUAUACAUACGUCAAUGCAGUCAGAAAAAGAGCGGUGCAUAUGGUACUGAGAAACGCGUUCGAAUUAGUACGCGCCACGUGUUUGUCCAGAGUCGUCGCACGGUUUACUGCCGGUCCAGCAUAAAAAAAAAAAGAAAGACUAAGAUUCAGUUAGGAUAAUCGCCUCGUAUUCUAUUGAGCGUGAACAAUGCGACACUUCGAGUUCAGUGAACAAUUGAGUAGGAACGAGGCAGCUGUCAGUCCAUGUGCCGCAGCGUGAUAUGUAAAUGGAACGUAAAUUCGUAAGCAUGACGAUAGGGUAAGCAGCCCUUUGGAGGGAAACCCCUUCGGGUUAAGGCAGACGUUGUAGACUAUUAUUUUUACAUCGAUGUCACGGAUCCGUCCGCAUUUCACGUUAGUCGUGUACACUGUAUAAUGGAUUUCAGAGUUUUCCGUUGAUAACUGUAAACGAGAACGAAUGUUACGAAACGUGCAAGCGAGUUUACGUCAUUAAUCGAUAAUAUUAACCAGAGUUUCUACGGAACGGUUAUUGUACCUUACUGAAAUAAGCACGUAAAGAGUUUUGUAGAGAAAGUAAGUUAUAAAUCGAUUAAAAGACCAAAACGAAACAAAGAAUAUAUCAUUGGUGGAUCAAAAGAAGAUUAAUUUAUAUUGUACAACAAAGAAGCUGUUGAGGAAAAUGUCAGAGACCUUAUAAAAGCGAAUACAUGUAUAUAUAUACCACGAAACCAGCGUAUAAGCGGACAACGAAGUACUCUUACAGUCUAAUACGUAACGAAAGAUUAUGUCUCGCAUUAAAGUGCGUUAUAUUACGACCUUGAGCAAAUUCUAUCUCGUCAAAGAAAUUCUUUAAAGAGACAAUGGAUUGCGGAAAGUAUCAGCGAGAUAGUAUAAAAUAUUGAAGACUUCUGUUUUUUAUGAUCCAGAUACUUUCUUCAAUUUUUUUAUGUUAAUUUUUAUAGCAAUACAUCAUGAUACUAAAGCAAUAUUUUGUCUGCCUGCCUGCCUGCUUGUUUGCUUGCCUGAUUGCC